CUAAGAGAGGUCAGUCAUGUCUCCAAGUUCUCCUGGAGUAAUUUCUACUAUUUAAUAGCUAAAAGCCCACUGAAACAUUGAAAGAAGCAAAUCAUGGUUAUGUGUAUCCAAACACAGUACCAAGCACACAAGGAAGGAGGCUGAAUUCUACUUUCCUUACCCACAUAGCUAGUCCUAUUGACCCUGGUGAGACCAUUUGCAAGAGUGAGGCUAGAUCCAACUCCCAUUCAAGGCACUGGAAAGACUCACAUUGGUUUAAAUAGAAGCUGCAUCAGGCUUUAAUGAAGACAAUCCUGCAAGGUGUUGAGCACUUUCAACUCCAAGUGAAAUCACCACCCUGAGUGAGCGGGAUUGGGUCCUCACUGAGCUAUGUAGAGACCUCAAUCAGGGGAAUAAAUAUGACUGCGAACCAAAACGUGAGAAAAUGAUUAGAAUACGUUAACAAACACAACAUUAAAAAGCUGAGCUAGGAAAACCUGUUGAGUAGAAACACAGAGUAUAUAUUAUGUUGUUUCCAUAAAGAAAUGCAAUACUGUACAAAUUAAGGGAGGCAAUUAAAAUUAAAUCAUAAGAUACACAAUAACUAUAUAAUGAAUGGUGGUGGAGAAGGAAAACAUUUGGUAAUAAUGAA